GGUGGGGAGCGCCGAGUCAGAAGAGAGCUAAAAUGGCGGAGGUUGGGAGUCCCUGCUUUGACUCUGUUUGCAAACUCUUGUUUCAUUGUUUAAGCGAUUAAAUCUCUCGAGUAGACGCUGUCUCUUUAGAUGCGAGGGCAAAAUAGCACUUUAUGGACUUCCACAGAGGACAUCAUGUUUAAUACGGUUCCGGAAAAAUCCAGUCAGAAGUUGUUCACGGAGUUUUCACAAUAACUGCUUCUCAUGAACCGAAGCUGGAUUUGCGCGACGUCUCCUCUUGAAAGUUGGAUUACUGUGCACUUCUGGAUCACAGACUAUUCGCAGCUGUACACAUCCUUCUACACUGUAUGCAAACAUGCAACAUCAUUACACACAGUACAAGGAGUCAGACUGGCAUAUGAGGAGCAAAGGAACCCAGGCAGUAGCAUCGUUUCACAAUGUUUCCAUCAUCAUCAUCAGUGGAUGCCUUUGCCGUCCGUAGCCUGAGAUUUUAGAUUUGCAGCAAAAAAAAUUGAUUUUCUCAUUUAUUGGAAUGCUGUGCAGGUAUUUGUACCUUGCAGCCAUCCAUUACAAUGUCACCAAGCCGUAACAAAAGCAGGAGAGGGAAAGUACAAGGCUAUGUUCCCAAAACACAAAUGACAUACCGUAAGCAGUAAUGUUUUAUUUCAAAUACAUUCAUAAUUAAAAACUUAAUGUAUGAAGCAGGGAAAUAAAUUAUCAAAACAAAAGAUUUAUUGACUGCAAUAUUUCUACAGUUAUGUGGAGGAUGUGAUCAGGCUUGUGUUUGAUGAGGUAUUUGAAGAUAAGCUGAAGGAAACCCCGAUUCCAAUGGACCUGGCAUCACAGUUUGAGAGACCUUCAAAGGAGGACGUGAUUGCAUGCCAUCUUCAGUGCAGGGGUCGUCGAAAGCCAAAAUUGUGACCGAUCUGAUCAGGAAGCUCCAAGCGUAUCUGGAGAACAACACACGACAGGAUGAUAACCUUAUAGUGUCGUCUUAGGCUAUGUUUACAUUAAUGCGUUUAUCCUUUAAAACGCGUUACUUUUGCUACGUUUACGCCUUUCAUCUACACUACAUCACCGUUUUCGACCCUCAUAAACGGAUUCGUUCGCAAACGCUGAAGACCCCGUUUUAGUUUGAGAACUCAGACGUUGCUCUGAGUGUAAAUGAACGUAGACGGAGUCUUAUGUAAACGAACAGCUGACGUUAACGUGACAGCGCAUCAUUUUCAAAGUAAAAAUUAUUUUAUUCAUGUAAAUGUUGGUUUGCAACUGAGGUUUUGCCAAAAAUAGUAAACAUCUACCAACCAGCUAUUAUAAACGCUAUAUCGGAUAGUUUUAACAUGUAUCCUUAUAGAUAAUGUCUGUUUUAUAUGAAUGUUUGAGUAUUGUUGGGUUUAAUGUGUUUAUGUUUUGUUUAAAUGUAGUUAGCUUAUGAAAGAUAGACUGUAAUUUUAAAUGCCAUAUAGGCGUUGCAAAGGCCAAUAUGAAGGGAGAAUUGUAAUGGGUCAGACAUUAUUUUCCAGUUUAAUGUAAGUUUUGU